rnacentral:rRNA from 1 species
GCAGUCGAGCGGGCGUAGCAAUACGUCAGCGGCAGACGGGUGAGUAACGCGUGGGAACGUACCUUUUGGUUCGGAACAACACAGGGAAACUUGUGCUAAUACCGGAUAAGCCCUUACGGGGAAAGAUUUAUCGCCGAAAGAUCGGCCCGCGUCUGAUUAGCUAGUUGGUGAGGUAAUGGCUCACCAAGGCGACGAUCAGUAGCUGGUCUGAGAGGAUGAUCAGCCACAUUGGGACUGAGACACGGCCCAAACUCCUACGGGAGGCAGCAGUGGGGAAUAUUGGACAAUGGGGGCAACCCUGAUCCAGCCAUGCCGCGUGAGUGAUGAAGGCCCUAGGGUUGUAAAGCUCUUUUGUGCGGGAAGAUAAUGACGGUACCGCAAGAAUAAGCCCCGGCUAACUUCGUGCCAGCAGCCGCGGUAAUACGAAGGGGGCUAGCGUUGCUCGGAAUCACUGGGCGUAAAGGGUGCGUAGGCGGGUCUUUAAGUCAGGGGUGAAAUCCUGGAGCUCAACUCCAGAACUGCCUUUGAUACUGAGGAUCUUGAGUUCGGGAGAGGUGAGUGGAACUGCGAGUGUAGAGGUGAAAUUCGUAGAUAUUCGCAAGAACACCAGUGGCGAAGGCGGCUCACUGG